CGCCGUAUGGCGCAAAAGAUAUGUCUCGGUGAUUGUAUGAGAAUUUUCCAAGUCCAACUAAGGGAGGUCGACUGCAACAAUCAAUAUCAUGAGUUUUCAAGAAUUCCCUUGCAGCUUCCGCAGAGGAGACUACGACGGUAGGGACACCAAGCUGAAGGAGCAUGAUGGAGCCAUAUUUCUUAGAUAGUUGCCAUAAAGAGUAGUGAGGCAACGCACCAAGUUGGUGCAAAUUACCUAUAAUGGGAAGCUUAGUAGGGCCAGGAGGCAGCGGCUUCUUUUGCCCCUUCAACUCUAUUUUCCGUUUUAUGAGAAACAUAAGAGGGAGAAGUAGCAGAAGCAGAUGAAGCCAGAUUGAUGGAGAAUAGAGCGCCAUUGGAGCUUGCUCGCUCUAUGAAUCUUGGGUGGGAUGUACUUAGGAUACACAUACAUCAUCGGCUUCAACCCCAAUUCCAACUUCUACCACUAUUUUGUCCUAGCAGGCCUUCCAAUUAUCGUUUCCCCUUUUUUAUUCUAUAGCAUUACAUGCCACGUUUCGCAACGACAAGCACAGAUUUGUCUUUUCUUUCUUUCUUUCUUUACCACAAAUUUUGUGAAGUGAUACAAAGCAAGAAAAAAUAUAUUUUCUUUAUAAAACAAUUUUUUUUUUUUUGUCUACAAAUGUCCCCAUUCCAAGUCAUAACAUGCGGAUACAUUCUCAUGUAUACGAGGGCAUAUACAUACAUUUCCAUGUGCACGGAGCCGAUCUUGAAGCUAACUUUCAUUUUUUUAUUUUUUUUAAAACAAAUAUUUUAAUAAGAAGUUUCCAAUUUUAAAAUAUCUUUCCCAUUUUUUUUCAAACCCUAUUUUGUUUUUUUCCUUUUUUUCUCACUUGAUAUACCUUGUAUUAACCCAAAGUUUCAUUGGAACAUUCUCUCAAAUAUAUAGAUAAUUUUUGUCCAUCCCGAGAUCCAUUGAAUCCAAAGUAAAUUAUAAAUUAUUUUUAUAUAUUUAAUAACAUAAUAUAAAUUUUUUUUAUUAAUUUAUAAAACUUAAAUAUUUUAAUCAUGAAUAUUAUUAAAUAUUAGAAAAUUUUUAAUUUUUUAAAUAAAAAAUAUUAAAAUAUGGUAUAAUUUUUAUUUCAAAUAUUAAAAAUAAUAUGUGUUUUAUAUAUAUAUCAUUCAAUAUAUUUCAGGAUAUCAAUAUGAUAUCCUUGGAUAUACAUAUUUUAUCCUUAUCUAUUCAAUUUUGUCAACCAAAUAUAACCUAAAUUAAUGAGAAGUAAUUUAUUGAAAAUCUAUAACAAGCACAAUUUAACAUCCAUGAAGAUCUACAGGACUUCUUGAGUGAAACUUAUAAAUCCGGAGUUGAGAUGUCAAUUCUAGUGGCUAGAGCAUUGUUCAAUUUUAUAUGACCAGAUGAUAAAGAAAUUAAGGCAAAAAAUGCAAAUGAAGUUGUUUCAUGAGGAUGAACUUUGCAUAGAUUGCAAUGUCAAAUCUCAGAUCCUUUUUCAUUCAAUAAGGAAAACGAAAACAUAAAUGUAUGAGACGUGGACGGCACUCCCAACACUUACCUAAUAAAGAGUUCUCUUUUAGUGGCCCCAUUUCAAAUGUCGUGCUUCAUUUUACUUCAUCCAUAUAAACCAACAAACAUUUUGUUGUUUUCAGUGGUUAUGUCACGCACCAAAGCCAACUAGGGCCCAAGAUUUCACUAGAAUCUUAGCAACACAAGCAUCAUGCCACUCAAUAUUGCAGUAACACUCCCAGGAAUAGGGGCUAAUGGGCCCCUAAUUAAAAUCAUUCAAGCUACAAUGCAUCCAUGACCUCUAAAAGCUUUCACAUUUUUCUCUCAAUUUGCUUUUCCAUAUAUAUGCAAUAAGGCAACUUUCAAAAAAUCAAAGGGUAACUAUUUCUUAUCUUUAUUUGCAAAAGCAAUGAUUGAUAUCACUUUUUAUUUAGGACUAAGGAGAUUGUUUGCGGCUCACCAUGAGGAUUGCUUUAAUAUGAUCUUUAUUUAGCUUAAUCGCACCAAAUUUAGGGUGUUCGAUCCCUUUCUGUUUGCAGCAGCACAUCAAUGAAAUUUUCAUGUUCCUCUUUCACAGCUUAUUAAAUUGAGAUCAUGGAGUCCAAUCACCUGCUAAUAGAAACCAAUGAGGAAAAUGUCGGGAUAUAUCAGUGAUAUAUCGUGUAUCGGGAGGGGUUGAUACGAUAUUUCGUAGAGAAAAAUCAGAGGGGAGAUAUUUCCGUAAAUAUCGCCAAAAUAUCGGCGAUAUAUUGGCUCGAGGAGAUAUAUAGGAGAUUUUAAAAAAAAAAAUCACCUCUGGUGGCAAAAUAUCGGCAAAAUAUUGAUGAUAUAUCAGAGAUAAAUCGUCAAUUUUUUUGCAAUAUUUCCCCUCUUUCAUACAACGUGAUCAAACGGCCCAAAUCACGCCCGUGUUGAUAUGACGGCCUAGAUGUGAUUCCAAUGGUAAUAUGGCGAUCCAACGGCCAGAUUGCUCCCAGCUUUUUAUCCAACAGCCAAAAUUGAUUUUCAACGAUAAAUUAAUGUUCCAACGGCUAUUUUGGCCCAAAUUUUUUCUAUAAAUAGCCCAAAUUUAAUCUAUUUCAUCCAUUUUUGCUUUCAUUCUUCAUUUGCUCUCUCAUUACUCCAAUUUUUAUUAAGGUUGCUCAAUUAUUUAAUCAUUUUAAGGUAUAUUUGUUUUAAAUUGUAAUUAAUUUUGUUUGCAAUUAUAAUUAAUUCAUGUAUUUUCAAUUAAUUACUAUGUUUGUAAUAUGGAUGAAUUAAUACUAUUUUUACAUUCAAUUGUAAUUAAUUUUUAUAUUUUUAUUGAAUUAACUUAGGUUAAUUUGAUUAUUUAAUUAUAAAUUGAUAUGUUUAUUUUAGAUGAUUAUUUGUGAUUUAUUUUCACAUUUAGAAUUAAAUUAAACUAGUUAACUUUGCUAAAUUAUUUAAUUAAUUUAAUUAACAUGAACUACUAUAUUUUGAAUAUGAAAUAUGUUUAUUUAAUGAAUUUAAUGUGUAAAAAUUAUUGAUAUUUAAUUAAAUGAAGUAUUUUAUGUGACUUUAUAAUGAGAACAAUUAUAAAAUUAACAUUUCUUAUAGAUCGACAUGAUAUAAUUACAUCUAAUAUCGCAAAUUAUAUCAUAUGUAUAUCAAAUUUUUUAAUAAAACAACUUUAAAAUGUCCAUUAUACUUAUAAUUAUAUUAUUAUGAGGUUUUCCUUGCAUUUCCAUGAGUUUUUAACAAUUUUAAGCCUAUCAAUAUUUUUUUCCAGAAUAUCCGUGAUUACCGAUAUUUUCAUCCUUGGUAGAAACCAUCCAAUUCAUAGUAUGUCCUCUCGAGCCACCCAUAAAGACGAGUGAGCCUAAUCCACAAAGAUUGUCUAAAGCAUUGAAAAGUAUAGAAGUUCUAAAGAGAAACAUGCAUUGUAUAGAAAGUACAUGAUUUUAGUAUGCUAUACGUGGAUAAUAAGGUACUUUGUAAGGUUGCAAAAGAUGAUACAAUUGUUUAUGGUUCAAGUUAAAAAGUCUAUAUUAUAAAGUUUCUUAUAAAUGUCUUGUAUUUAAAUAGGUAAUUAUUUUCCAUCUAAAUGAAAGAAAAUAUAUCUGUUAAUGACUACUUUGAUGAGUUUGAUAGAACCAUGAGAGACAUAAGAAAUAUUAUGUCAAAAUUAUUGAUAAAGAUAAGUAAUAAUUUUGAUGUGUUCCCUUCCAAGUUUUUAUAAGAACCUUGUGAAUACCGUAAUAUCUUAUAGAAAUAAUCAUUCCAUAAAGGAGAUGGGGAUAUAAUUAAAUAUAAGGGAGUUUAAGAAUUAAAUGUCUAAGAAUAGAAAAAAGAAAAAAAAAACCUCAUAAAAAUAUCAAUUGGCUAGAAGGUAAAUAGGGAAAAAAAAAAAAAAAACCUUAAGCAAGAUAGGUCGAGAUCUAUAUCAAACUUCAAGGAAAAACCAAGCAUUUCAAUUACAACAAGAAAGAACGUAAUGAGAGGAAUGGUCUAGAAUGUAAAAGAAAGGCAAAAGAGAAAAUUGUUCUUUUAUGAUAUUGUAGCGGCCAAGGAAAUUCCAUGUUAUAUCCCUUUGUAGUUUUUGUAAGUGACUCAAAUAAUGAAUGAAUCCUUGAUAUAGGGUAAUCUUACCAUUUAACUUUGAGUGGAUACCCAUCAAUUUGAUGGUAGGAAAAUUAUUAUGAGAAAUACUACAACUUACAAGAUUGUUAGGAUAUGCACAAUUCAAAUUAAGAUUCUUAAUGAUAUUUUGGAUGAUACUAAUUGAUGUACAAUAUAUUCCAAUGUUGAAAAAAAGCUGAUUUCUUUUGAUACUUUUCAUUCUAAAAAGGUGCAUAUACAAAGGUAGAAGUGGACUAGGGAGAAUAUUGAAGGGUGCUCUUUUCAUAAUGAGAGGACAAAAAGUUAAUAAUUCUCAUACAUUACAAGACAACAUAGUUAUAGGUCCAAUUAUAUACACAAUAAGGUGGGACUAUUUUGAGCAAAGUGGAUUCACUUGAUAAAAAGAUAUUAGAGAGUGAGUAAUAAAAGUAAAUCCUUUUGAAAAAAAAUCUAAAUGUAGAUUUGUUUUGAAAAUAUUCACAAAAAUAGUGUUAGCUUUAGAAUUAAGGUCAUAGUAAACUGUGAAACCAAGGUGUGAUUAAUCUUGAUUUUGAUAAUAACAAAAUAAGGUUUAGAACUAAUGAUCAUAUUUCAAGUGUGAUUAGGCAAGACGAUUUCCAAAGUGACAAUCACAAAGACAAAUCAAGCCAAAGAGAAAUCAUGAAGAAGAAUACCACCUCAAAGAGAAGAGUUUUUCAAGACCAAAGCUUCAUAAGAUCUCUUUGUAAGGUUGUUGGUGCACUAAGACUUUCAUGCAUUUCAUUAUUUAUUUAUGUACUAAAAUUAUCCAAGAGUAAUAUUGUUUUAAAUAUCUUAAGAAUUGGAUGAUUUCAUGUUUUCAACUAAAACCUUGUGUUAAAUGAUUUUCAAACUUGUGUUAAAAGGUUUUAAGUUGAAAAAGGUUAGGUGUUGAGCCAAAAAAAUGGCUCGACCGGUUGUGCUCAUUCGGUCGAGGACCGGUUAAGGGAGGCCAAAAAGUUUCUCUCUCUCCCAGUGGCCUUCUCUUCCCGAUCAAGGUUGAACCUCAACCGGUUGAGGUCCGGUCGAGGUCAUGUUGAGGUCCGGUUGAGGCCCAACAGUCACUUACCAAGCAUUAAAUGCUAACGGCUAGUCAACCGGUCGACUCCUACCUCGACCAAUCGAACCCCCAACGGCUAGUUUGGUUUUUUUCUUCUAUAAAAAUGCUCUAAUCUUCAUUGUUUCAUGAGUUUAACCUUCCCAAAUCUUUCUUGAUUAUAUUUGAGCCUUGGAAGAGUAUUUUUGAGUGCACCAUUAUUUCAAAACUUGCAUAUCUUUAGUGCACCAUUCAAUCCUAAUUUUUCUUGUAUCAUUUGAACUUAAAGUUCUUGUGCUAAGAUUUUUGAAAGAUCAUUCAUUUGUAAAUCUUUAAAAGGAAGUUUCUCAAGUGUGAGGUAUCACUUGAGGGGUUGUUCAAGAGUGGGAUAUCUCUUGAGAAGUGUAAAGGGUGCUUGGAGCCAAAAAUCCAAGAGGGUGAAUUGGAACCAUAAUCCAAUUGUAUUGCUUGAAGGCUUGGUUUGGAAGCCUUGGAUUAGUAGAACCUCAAGCUCGGGAUUGAAGCUAAACGAGAGUGGAUAUAGGCCGGGUUGCACCGAACCACUAUAAACUCUUGUGUUUGCAUUCUCUCUUCACUACUCUUUAAUUUAUAUGCAAUUGUCUAUAUAUUGAUUAUUAUAUACUUGCAUAUAAUUGUCUCUUGCAUUCACUGGUUUAAAUUUGAGAAAAGAGAUCAUCACUCUAUUCACCCCCCUUUAGGGUGAUUACCAUAGGUUGGAUUAGCCUAAUAUUUCUAGCAUAAACUAUAAUUUUUAUUACCAUAAUUAAUGACUAUGGUUUAACCUUAAACUUAAAACCAAGGUCAGUGAUUAUAGUUUUAACAUAAUUUUUUUAAAAAAAAUAAUAAAAUAUAUGUUAAUGAAGAACUAGUUUGAUGAAUAUUUUUAAAAGUAAUCUAAAUUUGGAAUUUCUUUUUCUUGAAAAAAAUUAAUUUUGUGGCAAAUUAUGAAUUUUAAAGAGUAAAAAAUUUUAAAUUAGUUUAAAAAAUUAUUUUUAAAAACUUGUAACAGAUCCAAAACUGCCUUGACACCGACGUUAUACAAAUGUAGGCAUUAAGCCCACAAAUUAAUAAAAUUUGAUAUUUUUAUUUUUAGGGCUACAUUUGGUCCCAGAAAAUACUAAGGAAAGAAAAAAAAAAUGUAAAGGAAAAUGAUUUUUUCAUAUUUGGUUGUCCUAUAAAAAAUAUCAAAGAAAAUCAAAUAUAAUUUAAACUAAUUAAAAAUUUAUGUAUUUUUAAAUUAUUUAAUUUUUAUAUUGAUGAGUUAAAAAAAAUAAAUUGAGUUUAAAGUAACAAAAAAAUAAUUUAUCAACUUUUAAUCUUUUUUAUUUAUUUUUCUCUAUUUUUUCUUUCCUUCUAUUUUUCUUUUGUAUUUUUUUUUUUUUUUUUUGCAUUUUCCUUCAAAUUUUAUGGAACCAAACAUAGCCCAGAGUGGGAUCAAAAUCCAUAACAUAAAAGAUAUUCUCAUGUGGGUCAGGCUUGGACCUAGAGACAGGUCGAAGUAGCAUCUUGUAAAAUCCAUGAGGUAAAACAUAUGAUUAAAAAUCAAUUAAAAUGGGCCAAGGGCCCCAUAACAGAGCCCAUUAGAUACGUGGCACAACAUCGAUGCGCUGUGUAAACCUAUAGAUGACAGGGUCACAGAGUUGCCCCUUGGAACAUCUAACCCUAGGUGCCGUAUAUUCCAUUUUGAAAAUAUAAAAAAAGUUGACUCAACCACGGUUUGCCUGCAUCUAACCAUGGUCGUCAACGUGUCCGAUCUCUUUGAAAGAACUAGGGUUAGGGUUAGGGUUCGAUCCGAUUGCGACCAAUGGAGAUGGAAAGUGUGACUGAGUUUCCUCAUACUCACAUGGAUCGGCGUCCUCGGAAGAGGCCUAGGUUUGCUUGGGAUGCACCUCAACUUCACCCUAAGGUAAAACUCGAAACCUUUUUGGCUGCUUUUGGUUGCCCAGAAUUGGAGUUCCCAUAUUUGGAUUCGGAUUUUGUGCAACCAAACGCAGCUUUGUAUCAUGAUUGUCCUUUUUUUAAAAUUAGAAAUGUUCCAAAUACAUUUUUUAAAAAUAAUUUAUCCAGUAUAUAUAUAUACACAUUCAUAGAAUCUUUUUGAAAUUUAAAAAAUAUUUAAUAAAUCAACAUAAUAACUUCAGAAAUUAAUAUAUUGUAAUGAUUAAAUUUAGGUUAUUAAGUAUAUUUAGUAUUAUAAUUUAAAAUCAAAAUUAAUUUUUGACAAGAAAACUUAAUGACUUAAUAUAACUUAAUAAUUUAAACAUAAAAUUACUUUAAAUUAUUAUUAAGUAUUAUGUUUUAUGAAAUUCUAAUUGACUUAUUUUUCUUGGCAUAUAAGUGUAAACAUAAUUUUCUUGAUUUCAAAAGAAAACACGACAUAGCCUUCAUGUUGGUAGUGGGAGCAAAGACAACAUAAGAAUUUUUGGACUGUUUGACGAUAUUUCAUUAUAUUUGUUUUUAAAAAUUAUGUUUAAGUUAAAGAAUGAAAAGUAAACUUUUGAUGUUUUCUAAAAGGAAAAAUGUUUUACAAUUAAUUUUGAAGUGCAUUCUAUAUAUAUAUAUAUAUAUAUAUAUAUAUAUAUAUAUAUAUAUAUAUAUAUAUAUAUAUAUAUAAAAGGGAAAAAAACAGGUUUGAAUAAAUUGUUCUUAAAAACAAAUUUUUAUUUUGAUUUUAAAAAUGUUGUUAAUCAAUUUAUAUGAUUUAAACUAUAUUUAAUUUAAGUCUUAUUAAAAAUAAAAAUUAAUUUGUUAUUAUAAAUAAAUUUAAAAAUAUAUAGUUUUUAGUAAAAUAUGAAUAUGAAUAUUAUAGUGAAAUCAUAAAUUGUUUUAUAUAUAUAUAAAAAAAAAUGAUAUUGCCGCUAUAACAAAUAUGAUGUUUUAAAAAUAUAUAGAUUUUAGUAAAAUAUGAAUACUAAUAUCAUAAUGAAAUCAUAAAUUGUAUUUUUUUUUCAUAAAAAAUGAUAUUAUAUAUUUUUGUAGUUAAUUAUGAAGAUAUGGAUAUUAAUAUCUUUAUAUAAUACAAUUAUUUUUUUUUAAAUUUAAUUUCUUUUAAUUUGAAAAAAAAAAUCAUAACAUAGAUAAAUUUAGUAACAUAUUUUGAAGAAUUAAUUUUUAAAUUUUCAAAUUAUUUUUUAAAAUUAGAAUAUUUAUUAUUAAGUCUCACUUGAUUUGGUUUCACUUAAUUCAAAAUUGAGUUGUCGAGUAAGAAAAUUUAAAAUAAACAAUAAAAUUAUGAUGUAUUAUAUAUCAUAUUUGGUCUAUUAUUUUUUAUAGUGAUUAAAUAUAUUUUUAAGUUUCAAAUCAUUUUUAAAAAUUAUUAAAUGUUAUAAUAAAUUUAAUAUAUUAAGUCUUGUUUGAUCUGAAAUUUAUUUGUCAAUAAUAAAAUUUAUAAAAAUAUAAUUAUGUGUAAAAAAACAAUAAUAAAAUUAUUCUAGACCAAUUCUUGUAAAUGGAUUUUUGUUAUAAAGUGUAUUAUAUUUUUAGUUGUAAUCAUUUUUCUCAAUUCAUAAACUUGUUAAUAAAUCCAAUGCAUUCAAAUCUACUUGUUUAAUAAAAAAUUUAUGAAAGUAUAGUUUAAAAGUGCAAAAUAGAGUCAUUUUUUUAUCCAUAAAUUUAUAGUAUUAAUUGGUUGAUUAUUUGAGUUUUAAAUUAUUUUUAAAAAUUACUAAAUUCUUUAAUAAAUCUAACGCAUUGAGUUUUAUUUGAUUUUGAGUUUAUUUACCUAAUUAAAAAAUUCACAACAUAUACUUAUAUGUAAGGAAAAAACUAACAAAGUCAUUUACAAUGAAUUUUGAUCUAUCAGUUUCUAAUGGUACUUGAAUUAGUUUUAAAUUGCAUAACUUUCUAGUACUAACUAGAUUAGUUCUUGAGUUCCAAAUUAUCUUCAAGUUUCAAAUUAUUAGUUCUAGCUUAGUUUUUGAGUUUCAAAUUAUUUUUAAAUAAAAUUAUUUCUAAAAAUGAUUAAAUUGUAUGCAUCAAAUAUCAUUUUAUUUGAGGUCUCAUUGUCUAAUAAUUUUUUUUUUUAAAGAAGUAGAAAGAAAUUUGAAAAAAUAAUUAUAAUUAAAAAAGAUAUCAUAUUUGAAGAUUUUAUAUAUAUAUAUAUAUAUAUAUAGUGAUUGGUGAAGAGAAAAUAAAAUGAGAAAAAGAGAUUGUGUUAUUUUUUUUAAUUAUUUUUUUAAGUUCUCCAAAUUUUCCGUUUAUUUUAAAAAAAAAACCAUUAAAAUAAUUUUUAUUUGUUUUCUACAAACUAUUCUUCAUUCCACUUUAAUUUUUAAAAAUUGUUUCCAAAUUGUUACCAAUGAAAAUGUUAUUAAUUUAAAAAAGCAAUUUCUUACCUUUAAAAAUAAAAUUUUAUUUUUAAAUCAUAACAAAAACACAUUAAAUUAUAAGAGUCAUAAACGACAAUGUUGAUAAGAAUCGCAAUCCUUUACUUUUUUUUUCUUUUUUGGCAUCAAUUUCACAAGACAUAUCGUCCUUAUUUCCCUAUGUUAACUAAGAAACAAAAAAUCACUUUACUUAUGAGUAAAGUCCUCCUCAAGAGAUGACCUUAAGAACCAACCUUUCCCACUUUGUGUUGAAAAGAAACCUUUAACAACUUUUGAUAAGUUGUGACACAAAUUAGGCUAUAAUGGUGGUAGAAGGUUGUCCUGAUACUGAAUUUGGCAUUAUGUACAAAAUGAGGUAAAAGAAUGACAAAAAAAUUGAACAUAAUUGAAAAAAAGAGGAAGAAUGCCCGUAAAAAACUAGUAAGUACCAAAGGGAAAUAGGGUCCUCCUCAUCAAUCGUAUCACUCUCUGCAUCUACCAAACUGCAAAAAUCCAUCUUUGCAUAUUGAAAGUGAUGGAGUAAAGCAGAAUUAUUCAUGAAGAAUUUUAACUUCUUCACUAAUAUCUUGAUAAAAAUGGUAAUUAUAUUUGUAUCAUCUACAUGGUAAUUAAUAUUUAUUUUAAUAUCUCACUUUAUCAUAAAUUGCAGAGGUUUUCACUUUCUUUUUAUUUUACACCCCUUAUUAUUUUAUUUUUAAAUAAAAAAGACAUGAGAAACUACACAUUUGUAAUUAGAAAUGAAAAUGAAAAUUAAAAAUUAUUUUUACAUUUUUUUUCAAACUAAUUUUAUUUAUUUUUUUCACCUUUGUAAAGAUUAAAAAUAUAUAAAAAAAUUGAGUAAUUUUAUCUAUAUUUAUUUUUUUGUAUUUUUUUUAGAGUAAAUCAAAUAUGAAAGGUAAAUGAUUUUUUUUCUUAGUACUAUCUUAAACUAAGCGUUGCUAUGCAUGGUAAGUUAUUAAAAUGAUGAUAAUGCCUUAUAAGAAGAAAGGCAACAAAAUUUUUCCCUUUUUCUUUUUCUAAUUUUCCUCAAUUUUUAUUCUCAUUUCUUUGGCGCAAGCUGUUUACAAUCCAAACGAAAUUGAACCUUCCAUGGAAAAGGAAAAAAAAAUAAAACAAAAUAAGAAGCACAAUCAAAUUUCAAAUUUUUUUUCCAUGAAAUAAAUUUCCUUUUUUUUUUAACAUUUUUCAUGGAAGAAACGAUAAAAAUGUUGGGAAAAAAACUAUUCAAAACUAAUUUAUUUUUAAUUUCAAAAACCUAAUUUAUUUUACCUUUUCUUCCUAUUUUUUUUCCCUCUGAUUUUUCUUUAAAACAUUUACGAGAACAAAGCAUAAUCAACCAAACAUAGCCUACACGUUUCCUAUGUCAUUUUCCCAGGAAAAAGGACUGGUGUUUAAUCUCCAUACUCCACUUAUUUUCAUUAAUUUAUCAGCAACUUAAAGUUUUCGUGGGACAAAUACAAAGAAUAUCAAGAACGAUUCCUCUUAUCACCGGUAUUGUUAACAGUGAUGGAGAAUUGGCACAAGGUUCAGAGCGAACUUCUUACGGACAGUAAGACCUGCUGCUUCUUCCAUGUUAAUAUCUGCCUCCCUCAUCCCAUUCGGCAAGUUCCAAUUGAAACGAUAUAAAAGAUUGGCAAGUGCGAGCUCCACUGUUGCAAUCACCAUAUACAUACCCGGGCAAAUUCUUCUACCCGCUCCGAAAGGCAGUAGCUCAAAAUGUUGUCCUCUAAAAUCUACAGAGUUGUCCAUAAACCUCUCGGGCAGAAACUCCUCUGGGUUCUUCCAGAGGUUGGGGUCUCGCCCAAUAGCCCAAACGUUUACUUGGACUUGGGUUUUCGGGUAAAUGUGGUAUCCGUUUAUCUCAAAAUGUGACAUGGUUUCUCUUGGAAGUAGAAGUGGGACGGGAGGAUGUAGUCUCAAAGUUUCUUUGACCACCAUCUUGAGGUAGUGAAGCUGAUCGACAUCACCCUCCGUGACUUUUCCUUUAUUUCCAAUGGAGUUUCUAACUUCAACCUGGGCUUUUUUCAUUAUUCUUGGGUUCCUAGCAAGCUCGGUCAUUGCCCAAGUUAGGGUGAUUGCACCAGUGUCCACUCCAGCCAAGAAUAAAUCCUGAGGCACAUGUUAAAAGUAGGCAAAAGAACACUUUAGUUCCAAUAAGUAUACCAAGCUAAGCAUUAUGCCAUUCUUGGUUCAAAGAAACCAAGACGCAAAGUCAAAUUAAAUGAUAAUCGAUUGGCCCUUUUGUAGAUAGCUCCAAGGCACUCUACGUAACUGCUCCUGCCUCCCGUCUCUCUCUUCCACAUUUCCAUUUACAUCAUUAAUAGAACUUAUCAAGUAUUUUAUGACACGAGAUCUGACCAUAACUACAUUAAAACUUAACAAUGUAAAGUGUGUUGAGUUAUCUAAGUGUGAGCUUAGGAAAUGUGAUAUUAAGCUUCCCAAAUGGGGACCUGAUCUAUCAUUCAUCCUUUAAAUAGCUAAGAGUUGAAACAACAAACUCAAAAAAGAAACGAAAAAAAAUGAGACGGAUCAAAGGAGUAGGUUGGUGGCUUACCAUGAGGAUUGCUUUUGCACUAUCUUUAGUAAACUGUACAGCACCGGAUUCAGACCGUUCCCUCUGUAUUUUCAGCAGCACGUCGAUAAUGUCUUCAUGCUCCUCUUUCACCCUUCCUGGGUUGAGAUGGUCCUCAAUCACCCGUUGGUAGAAACCGUCCAUUUCAAGGAAACUCCUCUCAAGCCUUCCAUGAAGACCAGUGAGUCUAUCCACAAUCCGACCCACGUACGGAAAGAAAUCGGCUGCAGUGAACCCGCCCAACAAAGCCAUGGCUUCACGAACCACUUCUUGAAAUCUUCCGUCACCAAACUCACUCACUUGAAAACUCUUUCCGAAUGCAAUCCUGCAAAUUAUAUUUGCAGUGAGAGACAUUAACCUCUCGGUAAGAUCAAUAGGACUUCCAGAAGAAGAUGAUUCCGCAAUUGAAUCAAUCAGCAAAGCGACCUCCUCUUCUCUGAUGAACUGAAACGACUGCAGCCUUUUUGUGCUAAACACCUCAUGAACACAGAUCUUGCGUACCUCCCUCCAGUAAUCGCCGUAUGGCGCAAAACCUAUGUCUUGGUGAUUGUAUGAGAAUUUUCCAAGUCCAACUAAGGGAGGUCGACUGCAACAAUCAAUAUCAUGAGUUUUCAAGAAUUCCCUUGCAGCUUCCGCAGAGGAGACUACGACGGUAGGGACACCGAGCUGAAGGAGUAUGAUGGGGCCAUAUUUCUUAGAUAGUUGCCACCAAGAGUAGUGAGGCAACGUACCAAGUUGGUGCAAAUUACCUAUAAUGGGAAGCUUAGUAGGGCCAGGCGGCAGCGGCUUCUUUUGCCCCUUCAACUCUAUUCUCCGUUUUAUGAGAUACAUAAGAGGGAGAAGCAGCAGAAGCAGAUGAAGCCACAUCGAUGGGGAAUAGAGUGCCAUAGGAACUUGCUAGCUCUAUUAAUCUUAGGUGGGUUGUAGAUACACUACAAAAAGAUACUUUUAUAGUUGCGGUCCUAUCCUGCAGCUAAAAUUAACAAAAAAUUGUGACCAUAUAAAAUUUAGAUAGGGAUAAAAUAGAGCAAAGCUUAGUCAUAGACCAUAGAGGGUGCAGACAAAUCCUAUGGCUGUAGCCACUUAUAUAAAACUGCCAGUAGAAGAAGUUAAAAAUUAUUAAUAGGCUAUACAGGGUUGCAGUUUUCUCUUGGCUGCUACCAUAAGGCUCAUAGGAUGCACUUUUCUUGGCCCCUACUAUAGCUAAUUUAUGUGGACAUAAUUUAUUCACUACUAUAGAUCUUUAUUUUUAUUUAUUUAUUUUUUUCAAUGCCUUUUCCUAUUUAUCAAUUAAAAUAUUUUCAAGAGGAAAACCAAUAUCCGAACACAUUUACACACACACAAUUGCCAAUACUUUCAACGUUAAUUGAAAAUAGAAAAUGCAAAAGACUUUGAUGAGCUGUUUUGCUGAACCACUGGCAAAAAGUAGUAAGCGAGCACUUGUGAGCAUCAAUUGCAAGGUAGGCACUUGCCAUUUCUCACCAGCCUGAGAUGCACUCACAAAUGGUUUUUGGUGUGUGCAGGAUGAGCCAUCACUCUAAUGCUAGAAGGCAUUCUUGAGGUUUCUCACCACCAUGUCCUUUCCUCUUUCAGUUCGGUGUCCCGCUGAUCUGAUCUUCAGACAACACCAAGGUUCAGUCUGCGAAGUAAGGGACUCACCAAUGUUUCCUUCAAACAAGACAAAAAGAAACGGAAAUGGAUCAUUCUGCCUUUUCAUUUGUGUUUCUACGUAUGACUCGUGGUGAUCACCUGAUGGAAUUUGAUCAUUCAGCGAAUCUCAUCGAAAACGGUUUCACAGUUCAGGGGAUUAUUGGUAACUUUGGAAUUAAAGUCUAUUAUUUUAAGCCCUUUCAGUAUUUAUAGUCAAAGCAAAAGAUGAAAGGAACAACAUGAUAUCUUCAGCUUCAGCUUUUACUUUUGCUCUUGACAAGGCUGAAACUGAUCCUGGAAUCAAAACUCACAUACACAAGUAGAUAUUUAACAGGAAAGGAUCCAAAUCCCUUCAAUUGAUUAAUGUAUAAAUGAAUCAUAUUGAUUGUUUGAAGUGACAACAAAAUUCUGGAAGAGGAGAAAGUUUGACACUGGAGAGCAACAAAAUGACAAGACCAUAAAUAAAUUUAACACCAAGUGCUACUGCCCCAAGAUAUCUAUGAUGCAUCUCUGAAAAAUUCAGAUAAUGGUCAAGAAGGCAGGCUCAUGGGACUAUCAAAUAACCAUUUGAUUUAAGAUUAAAAUAUUUUUCAUAUUUAGGCUCCAAGAAAAUUAAAAUAAAUGAAUAAAUCGUGAUGAUAAUUAAUAAAUAAAGAAAUAGAAAAUCAUCCAUAAAAUGUUAUUUGCAAAUAUUUCACAAAUUGAAAAAUUCUAUGCAAUUUGAACGAUUACUUGGUGAUCAUGCCGAAGUAAGCAAUGAGAAACUAUAUGUAAACUACUAAACAAAAAUAGAAACAGAACCUGCUAAGUAGAAACAAGUGUUUUCCGCUAGGAAACACAGGCCAAAAGAAAAAAGGGGAAAUGAUUCAAAAAUCAAUUACGAAAUAAGUGAUGUAGAGGCAAAAGGGACCUAAUGGGCCUCAUAUGCAUAUCCUUGGAAACAAAAAAUUUAUCUUUCUACAUAGUCUAAUGAUAAACAACAUAUUCACCCACCUCUCAUAGGAGGUGGGGCAGUUGUAUAUUGUCUCCACAUACACCAAACCUGUUUCUUGAUCACUAGAAUAAAUAGGAGGCAAUUAAUCAAGGCAGGUAAUGCAAAUCCAGACAAUAGAGUAAGACUGGAAGAUAGAGCAUACAUGUAAUUGAGAAAAGUGUUGUAGUUCUUGUCCACCUGAAUGCCAGCUAUUCAAGUACGGUAGAUGUUGGCCUUCAUCUCUAAAUUAUAAACAGAAAUGAGAUGGUGUUUGCUCUUCUUCUCCUACAAUGGACCUAGUUGUUUAAGAGACAUGGAGAUAGCUAGAUUUGGUAUAUACAGCUGUGUUUGGUUUUGUCUAAAUGGAAGUAAGAUAAGUCAAUGAGAUUUUCUAGAUAACAAUUGUUUUUCUUGGUGUUUUGAAUACAUUUCCUAUAUCAUAUAAGCUGAGUAAAAAUCUAGAAGAAGAAAGCCAACAAAAUUAUGUUGUACAAGUUGAUGCUACAUUUGGAUAUUAUUGCUUUAACGAUAAGUUUUGUUGUAAUAAUUAUUUCCUAACGAGAUGGGUAGGACUCCAGUUUGAACAUUGGGCUCUACCAACCCAACAUCAAGUCCAUGGGCAACUCGGGUCUCUAUGGGUUCUUAUAGGUUUUCGCAUCAUACCAAGAAAGUAAUUAUUUUAAAAUUUAUAUCAUGUAAAUCAUAUUAUCAAAAAAAAUGUUAAAACUAAUCUAUUUCGUAAUUAUUUUUAAAAACAGUUCUAGAAAACAAUUUUUAACAACUAUUCUUUGAUGUUUUAUAAAGUAAAAAUUUGUUUAAAUAUCUAAAAUAAAUUUUAAAAUAUGUUUUUUUUUAAUUUAAAUAUGUUUUUAAAAUAAUUUUUAUAUUUAAUAUUUUAUUUUUAAUCAUUCUACAUAUUUAUAUAAUUAUUUAAAAAAAAAUUGAAAACAAUUAAAAAAUAUUAUUUAAAAACACAAUAAAAAAUAAAAAAUAAAAACAAAUUUCUAAUUACCAAGUGUGUUCUCAAGAACAUAAAACUAUUUUUGAAAACAUAUACCCAAAAAACCCUAAAUAACUCAAAAUCAUAAAAUAUAUGUGUUAGUUUCUAAUUUAACAUAAAUAAUAAUCCAUAAAUUCAAAUUUCAAAGACCAAAGUUAAUUUAACAAUUAAAAAAAGUAAUAAAUCCAUUAAUCUAAAAUAAUUAAUAAAAAGCAAUAAGUCACUUCCUAUGAUAACUAAAAAGUGAUAAAUAUAAUUUAAUUUUAAAUAAUAAUAAUAACAAAUAAAUAAACAAUAAUCACCUUUAACAUAUGACAAAUUUUACUCUAAAAAGAGCAUUUGAUGAAACUAAAAUUAAAUUAUAUUUAAGUUGUUAAAUUAAAACUUAUUAUUUAAUUUUCAUUUUAAAUAUUAAAAUUUUUUGAUAAAAUUAUUUUAAAAUUUAUUUUAAAUCAUCAAAUUAACAUAUUUAUCCUCAUAAAUUAUAAUUAGGGUAAAGAAAGUCAAAUAAUAAUAAAGGUUGUGGAGUAACGAAAAAAAUCAUAGAGAUAAUUAAGAUAAAUCAUAAUAAAAAAAUAAUAAUAAAGAUGUAAACUUAAUAAUAAUUAAUUGUUUUUAUUUAUUAUUUAAAAUUAUUUUUUAUUUUAAGUUAUUUUAUCAAUUAUAUUUAAUGUAUUUAAUUACUUAUAAGUUGUAACUCGUAACACAGACACCCACUAAAUGGGAUUUUUGAUAAAAGUAUGACAGUUUUAAAAAAUUAUUCCUAAAUUACCGUAGUAGAAAAAAUAAUUCCAAAUUUAUGGUAAUUUUGUUCAAAUAGAAAAGAGAAAAUAAUUUGUAAAUGAAAAAUAGUCUCUUCAAAAAAUAAGUAAAUCGUAUCUUGAGAAAUGGUUUUUUAAAAAAGUGAGACAUCCUCUUUUAAAGAGACGAUUUAAAAAAAUAAUAAUAAAAAAAUUAAAACAAGUGAGAAAUUGUAUCAUUAAGAGGCACGAUUUCCAAAUAUAUAUAUAUAUAAUUCUCACAAAAAAAAAAAAAAGGAAAAAAACAAACAAGAUUUUGUCUCUUCAAAACACGAUUUCCACACAAAAAGUGAUUAAAAAAACCCCAAGUGGGCAGCACAAAAGUGAGAAGAGAGUAUUUUGGCCUUUCCAAGCUUGAAAAAGAGCACCCAACUAGGCUUUUCGUCUACAUUGGUAAUACGUUGAAUGCAAGUGUUAGGAAUGGGUUUCGAGGAUUUUGGUUGAUUUGUUUUGUAAGGGUAGUUUGAUACCAGAGCUUCAGGAUCCAGGGACUUGGAAGAAGUUGAUGAAGAGGUUGAGGAAGGAUGGGAGGAUUAUGGUUAAUGUUGGAGGGAGUUGUGUUGAGGCAAAGGAUUCAAGGAGAGAUGGGAAGGUGGUAAUGGAGGAAUCAUUGAAGGCAAUGCAUAAGGUCUUUGGUGAUCAGUCUUUGUUUUGAAUCUCGGAAACAGGAAGGAGGAUAGCUCCAUUGCUCUCACCGGCAAAUUGUCGGAUCUUGAUGACUGGAAGAAAGUUCUUCCCUAAUCUUUAAGGUUUUAUGUGGAUGUGGAUGUGGACGCCCGUCAGUUCCAAGUGUGACUGUUUCCAUUAACCACUCUCUGAGAAGAAGCAUUCAGGAGCAGUCUACUGAUGCAAUUCAUAUAUUUGUGUUUAUUCCUGUUAGAAGCAAUGUUUUUUUUUUCCCCGGAUUGUGCAAAGCUUAUUUAUGAGGUUUGAAUUUUUCCCCCACCUAAAAUCAUCCUCUCUUUUGUCUCUUUGUUCUCGAUUGGUUCAUUAGGGCAUCUAAGUAGUAAGGGAGUCAUAUGAUUGUAAAAUAGAUUUAUAAUAUAUUUUUAUAUUAAAUUAUAUUAAUUUUUUUAUAAUAUAUAAAUAAUUAAUUGUAUUAUAAUAUAUAUUAAAUUUUAUUUUUUUUAUUUUUUAAAUUAUCUCUUGAACAGACAAUCUCCAAUUGUUUAAUUUAAAUUAUUUUUUGGAAAUCGUGCUCUUUUCUUCAAAAUGAAAUUUCUCAUUCUUAGUAAUUUGGAAAGAGAUUUUUUUUUUUAAAAAAAAAAAGGGUCAUAAAUUUGAAGAGACUAUUUAAAAAAAUAUAUAUCUCUCCCUCCUACCUAACAAAAUCUAUCAUAGAUUUGAAAUUAUUUUUUUUAUUAUGGUAAUUUAAAAAUUAUUUUUUAAAAUUACGGUACUCUUGUCAAAAAUCCCCCUACCAUUCUAAGUUGACCGGUCGGUUUAAGUCAUGGGUCCUAUUUUCUUGCCUUCUCCUAUUGCAGCAUUGCACCACGUGACAUCUCCUUUUCUUUCUACCAGGUCCUUUUCCUAUCUGCAACGAUUUUCAUCAAUUUCAAUUUGGCCACAGAUAGUGCAAACAUUUUAAUAUUUUUAUUCUUUUUAUAUGGGAGAGAAAAGGGGAGAAAUAAAUUAAAUAAGUAUGUAAAAAUAAAUAAAUUUAAACUUCUUUUUAUUUUUCUACUUUUCUUUUCUUGUUAACAGUGAUGGAGAAUUGGCACAAGGUUAAGAGCAAACUUCUUACGGACAGUAAGGCCUGCUGCUUCUUCCAUGCUAAUAUCUGUCUCCUUCAUCCCAUUCGGCAAGUUCCAAUUGAAACGAUAUAAAAGAUUAGCAAGUGCGAGCUCCACUGUUGCAAUCGCCAUAUACAUACCCGGGCAAAUUCUUCUUCCCGCUCCGAAAGGCAGUAGCUCAAAAUGUUGUCCUCUAAAAUCUACAGAGUUGUCCAUAAACCUCUCGGGCAAAAACUCCUCUGGGUUCUUCCAGAGGUUGGGGUCUCGCCCAAUUGCCCAAACGUUUACGUGGACUUGGGUUUUCGGGUAAAAGUGGUAUCCGUUUAUCUCAAAAUGUGACAUGGUUUCUCUUGGAAGUAGAAGUGGGGCGGGAGGAUGCAGUCUCAAAGUUUCUUUGACCACCAUCUUGAGGUAGUGAAGCUGAUCGACAUCACCCUCCGUGACUUUUCCUUUAUUUCCAAUGGAGUUUCUAACUUCAGCCUGGGCUUUUUUCAUUAUUCUUGGGUUCCUAGCAAGCUCGGUCAUUGCCCAAGAUACGGUGAUUGCACCAGUGUCCACUCCAGCCAAGAAUAAAUCCUGAGGCACAUGUUAAAAGUAAGCAAAAGAACGCUUUAGUUCCAAGUAUACCAAGCUAAGCAUUAUGCCAUUCUUGGCUCAAAGAACCCAAGACGCAAAGUCAAAUUAAAUGAUUAUCGAUUGCCCCUUUUGUAGAUAGCUCCAAGGCAUUCUACGUAAUUUUGCGCCUUCCUCCUCCUCCGUCUCUCUCUUUCAAUGCUUUCAUAAUCAAACCAAGUCUUUAAAUAAAAAAAAAUAUUGGUUCAUAAAUUACCGGUCAAACCAGUAGGUAAACCACGAUGUAACGGGUAACAUUAUAAAUAUAUUAUUACAUAUUAUUAAAAUUAAAAAUAAUUAUAAAAAAUUAUAUAUAUAAUAUUUAAAUGUGAAUAUAUUAAAAAUGAAAGAAAAAUUAUUUAUUUAAUUUUAAUUAAUUUUAUAAUUUUAGAAAAUAUUAUAUGUUUUAUUUAAUAUUAUAAAUUUUUUUAGUAAAGAAUAUAUUUUUUUUGUUUGCCACAUGAAGGAACAAGUCGGAUGUAGUGGGGUGGUCUCUUAACUCAUUUAACGAGUUUAAGGUCCCAGCCCCUUUAAUGAUAUAAAUUGAGGGUGGGGAACUGGGCUUUAAUGAUAAAAAGGGAGGGAGGCAGAGGGAGGUGGACUCGGCCUGUUUCAACGAAUAAAAAGGGGUUACAUUGAGCUAUUAUUAAGCUUUCAAAAUGGGGAGAAACUCAAAAAAGAAAAAAGAAAAAAAUGAGACGGAAAAAAGGAGUAGGUUGGUGACUUACCAUAACGAUUGCUUUCGCGUUAUCUUUAGUAAACUGUAGGGCACUGGAUUCAGAUUGUUCCCUCUCUAUUCUCAGCAGCACGUCGAUGAUGUCUUCAUGCUCCUCUUUCACCCUUCCUGGGUUGAGAUGGUCUUCGAUCACCUGUUGGUAGAAGCCGUCCAUUUCAUGGAAACUCCUCUCAAGCCUUCCAUGAAGACCAGUGAGUCUAUCCACAAUCCGACCCACGUACGGAAAGAAAUCGGCUGCAGUGAGCCCGCCCAACAAAGCCAUGGCUUCAUGAACCACUUCUUGAAAUCUUCCGUCACCAAACUCACUCGCUUGAAAACUCUUUCCGAAUGCAAUCCUACAAAUUAUAUUUGCUGUGAGAGACAUUAGCCUCUCGGUAAGAUCAAUAGGACUUCCAGAAGAAGACGAUUGCACAAUUGAAUCAAUCAGCAAAGCGACCUCCUCUUCUCUGAUGAACUGAAACGACUGCACCCUUUUUGUGCUAAACACCUCGAGAACACAGAUCUUGCGUACCUCCCUCCAGUAGUCGCCGUAUGGCGCAAAAGAUAUGUCUCGGUGAUUGUAUGAGAAUUUUCCAAGUCCAACUAAGGGAGGUCGACUGCAACAAUCAAUAUCAUGAGUUUUCAAGAAUUCCCUUGCAGCUUCCGCAGAGGAGACUACGACGGUAGGGACACCGAGCUGAAGGAGCAUGAUGGAGCCAUAUUUCUUAGAUAGUUGCCAUAAAGAGUAGUGAGGCAACGCACCAAGUUGGUGCAAAUUACCUAUAAUGGGAAGCUUAGUAGGGCCAGGAGGCAGCGGCUUCUUUUGCCCCGUCAACUCUAUUUUCCGUUUUAUGAGAAACAUUAGAGGGAGAAGUAGCAGAAGCAGAUGAAGCCACAUUGAUGGGGAAUAGAGCUCCAUUGGAGCUUGCUCGCUCUAUGAAUCUUGGGUGGGAUGUACUUAGGAUACACAUAUAUCAUCG
rnacentral:lncRNA from 1 species